CCUACGGGAGGCAGCAGUGAGGAAUAUUGGUCAAUGGACGAGAGUCUGAACCAGCCAAGUAGCGUGAAGGAUGACUGCCCUAUGGGUUGUAAACUUCUUUUAUAUGGGAAUAAAAUGUUCCACGUGUGGGAUUUUGUAUGUACCAUAUGAAUAAGGAUCGGCUAACUCCGUUCCAGCAGCCGCGGUAAUACGGAGGAUCCGAGCGUUAUCCGGAUUUAUUGGGUUUAAAGGGAGCGUAGGUGGAUUGUUAAGUCAGUUGUGAAAGUUUGCGGCUCAACCGUAAAAUUGCAGUUGAAACUGGCAGUCUUGAGUACAGUAGAGGUGGGCGGAAUUCGUGGUGUAGCGGUGAAAUGCUUAGAGAUCACGAAGAACUCCGAUUGCGAAGGCAGUUCACUGGACUGCAACUGACACUGAGGCGCGAAAGUGUGGGUAUCAAACAGGAUUAGAUACCCGAGUAGUC
rnacentral:rRNA from 1 species